ensembl:snoRNA
GCCCUCUGGUUCCCUUUCCCAUCGGAUCUUGACACUGGUCUUGGUGGUCGUAAAGGAGGGAGAUCACGCUGAAACUGGCCUCACAGCAAUGUAGUCUGGUAUAGAGCAUUGAGUCAUAUUCAUACAUGC